AGAAAUUGGACAACCGGAGCAAACACUCCACUCCCUCACUACACAGACACAGGCGGAUAAGCUCCUCUCUCCCUCACAGAACACGACCGCCCCUCUUCCACUGCAUCCCCACCGGCGGCGAGACGAACACCCACCCCUGCCUGGUCCAUGGCGGCCACCCUUCCCCAGCCGCUGAUCUAUGCCCCUCCACCCCCUCCUGCCGCUGCGCCGGUCCAUGGUGGCCGCCCUUCCCUUACCUCUCUUCACGCAGCCCGGAUCUGCCGCCUAUGGCUUCCACCUUGCUUCCCUUUUCCCCAUCGCUCUCCAGCCCCGCAACGGACCCGUUCGCCGCCACCAGCCUAGUCCACAACCACGGCUCCGCUCCGGCCGCCAUGGAUGAGCUUUGCCUCCAACGGAUCGUCGGCACCGACCAUCGGGCAGCCUUGGAGGGAUCCGACAGAGGCUCCCCACCUCGACUGCGGCUGGAGAAGGCCGUCGAUGCUUCCUACUUCGCGCCGUCCCAGCAACAAUGAGCGUCGCCGCGUCCGUCCAUGGGUACCCCCUGCUCAGCGUACUUCGUAGACGCAAAAACAGGGUUCGUCCUCUUCCUACUGGGAUCAAACAUGUCCACGUCUGUCUUCUCCAACGUUGGGUGCUAUCCUGGUAUUGGGCAGCAGCUUCUCAAACGAUACGUAAGACGAGCUGCUUCGUCACUUCGUCAGUGGCCAUGUAUGGUUUUGUUUUUUUUCUUCAGAAAAAUCAGAAUGCACAAGAUGUCUUCCAACGGCCUGGCAGGGAUUGGUUCUUCGGCCCAUCAGCUUCGGGCUCUGGCCCACUUGUCGCCUCUGACAAGAU